AUUCCAGCUCCAAUAGCGUAUAUUAAAGUUGUUGCAGUUAAAAAGCUCGUAGUUGGAGUUCAGAGUGAGCUCAGCUGGUCGGCCUAAUGGGUCAGAACUGGUUGACUCCCUCUUGUUUGUGGGUCUCGCCCGGAGUUAACUCUUCGGAUGUGGAUCCCACAUCGUUUACCUUGAAAAAAUUAGAGUGUUUAAAGCAGGCAUUUUGCUGUGAAUACAUUAGCAUGGAAUAAUAACAUAGGACUUUGGUUCUAUUUUGUUGGUUGGAGGCCAAGGUAAUGAUUAAUAGGGAUAGUUGGGGGUAUUCAUAUUUAAUUGUCAGAGGUGAAAUUCUUGGAUUUAUGAAAGAUGAACUCAUGCGAAAGCAUUUACCAAGGAUGUUUUCAUUA
rnacentral:rRNA from 1 species